rnacentral:tRNA from 1 species
AAGCCCCGAGGUGUUCAACAUAUCAGAUUGCAAAUCUGAAGAAGUAGGCUAGCGCCUGCCGGGGCUU